UUUUGUUCUCCUCCCUUUGGUUCUCCCAGGUUCCCUUUUAUAGGAGGGGAUUACGUUACCUGGGAGGUAACCGGGGGAUUUGUCCCUGUCUGUAAUAAUUGGGCACGAUUUGGCCCAUUUAUGGCGUAGUGGAGAACGGGGCCGAAUCAGACCGGAACCAGGGAGUUGUCACGGUCGAUCGGACCUGUUGGAGUGGUUGAGCCGCCGGCCGUAGCGGGCCUGGGGUCUGUGGAUGGUAAGUGCGUUUAUUACCGAAUGAACCGGCGGUCAGGUAGAGCCAUGCGCUCUGAUGGUUCAGUGAUCCGGAGAUCGUCUUGGGCCGUGUUCAUUAAAUGCCUGAGUGCAUCGGAGACUUGAGGGAGUCUCAUGCAUUAAUGGCAGGUCGUGCCGAACGCCUGCGGAGAUCUUAUGCCUUGAUGGCUUGGAGAUAGUGGCAGGUCGCAAGCCGUAGUUGUCAAGUCCCUUGGACUUUAGGCGGAAGUUGAACAUUCGGUUUAAGGCAUCGGCUCGGCAAGGGUGCCGAGCCGAGCUGGUCGCCCAAUGGGGCGCCCUGUGGCGGGGUUGCUUCAAGUACUCCUGGUCGGCGCCCUUUGGGCGAGCACCUUCUAGCAGAGCGCCUUGGCGCUGUCUUUGGUCGGCACUUUCUAACCGAGCAGCUUAUUUUGG
rnacentral:lncRNA from 1 species